rnacentral:rRNA from 1 species
CCAGCAGCUGCGGUAAUUCCAGCUCCAAUAGCGUAUAUUAAAGUUGUUGCAGUUAAAACGCUCGUAGUCUGAUGUAAUGGGGACUGGUGUGGGGAGCAGCAAUGCACUUUGCUUCGGUCCUCAUCAACGGGACAGCAAUGUCCCAUUUUACUUAGAAAAAAUUAGAGUGUUCAAGGCAGGCUAUCGCCCUGAAUACACAAGCUUGGAAUAAUGAAAUAGGACUUUUUCCAUUUUAUUGGUUAUUGGAGAGAGUAAUGAUUAAUAGGGACAGUUGGGGGCAUUAGUAUUUCGUUGUCAGAGGUGAAAUUCUUGGAUUUACGAAAGACUAACUUAUGCGAAAGCAUUUGCCAAGGAUGUUUUCAUUAAUCAAGAACGAAAGU